AAAUUGCAAUACGAAAAUUAAAAUUUAAAACUCAGGAAUUACAGUAUAUUUUGUCAAUGUUUGACUUGUUACCUCGUCCUUUUAUAUAAUCACAACGUGUGUUACAGACGUUCUUUUGUUCUACCAAUACCCAUCAAAGUUGGAAAACCACAAAAUUUCAAAAAUAUUAUUCCUCUCUAGUUUCUUUCUCAUGUAAUGCUAAAUAAGCGUAUUGUGUUAUUGGUUUCUUUUUUUCUAUAUUUUUUUUUAAAGAUUACCUAGAAGUUAACAAAGCAAGCAAACAAUACAAAUUAAAACAGUGCAUAGUUUUGUUUGAAAACCCCUAAAUUACGAAAGCAUAUCGAAUGGCCGGAAAAACUGGUUUUGAUUGAUUUAUUGUUGUUUGCUUUACGCCGCAUUAGCACAAAAAGGCUAUAUCACGGCAAAAAACUGGUUUUGAUAUGAAAGCAUUUGAUAUAAUAGUAUUAACAAAAUUGUCUGCUUUUACGUAUAAUUUUAUUUAUACUACUAAUUUCAACAACAAAAAAUACAGUAUUAAGUUGACGUAAAUCUAAAAGACAAUAUAGAUUUUAACAAUUCUAAAAUUCCAAUCAAUGGUUUACAAAUUAUACACG
rnacentral:lncRNA from 1 species